rnacentral:ncRNA from 1 species
GCUUUGGAGAAUUCCAUUUAAUUGGAUGCCGAAGGUGUAAGGUGCUUGCGUACCGAAUCUCUCAGGCAAAAGAACGAAG